CAAAGGCAGUUGCUUGACUGACCCACCCAGGGGCCCCUCUGCUGAGUUUUAUAUACUAACUGCAUUUUGUGUUUGAAUUGAGUAAAGUUAGUGUUUUUAUAAGGCCCGAAUGCUUCAAACUAGUGUUUGACCUUUAUGUUUUAAAUUGGCAAGCUGUUAAAUUAUCCAUGUUUGUAAGGAAUCUCAGGUGGGAGCUUGUUGAAAUUUGUCCCAGGAAUUCUGGUGUGAUUACAGAAUAUGAAACGGGAAAGGCUUUCUGGUUUAGGAGUUAAAACAGAUUGUCAGUAGGGCAUAUCUGAUUUUUUUUUAAUUAUUCUGGUUAUUCAUCCAAUGCCCAGAAUAGGCAGUCAAAAAUAAGUUUUCAGCCAGAUCAGAACUCAAUUGUAUACCUCUAACACUUGGUCAUUUUACCUCCCAGGAGCAUUCCGCCCAGUAAUGGUUAUUGGCUGUACAAAUGGUGCAGAGUCCUUGAUUUUAAGUAGAGUUUAGUUACAUGGGGUGUAAAAACUCUGAUGACUAUUACAAAAACUGUUUUAUGUGUAUUUAAAUUGAUUUACCUUGUUAACCUUUUCUGCUGAGUUGAGCAUGGAGCUCAACCCAAAACAAACUUUUUGUGGCCAUAGUAGUCACAAUACCUGAAAUGGGCAACUCUAGAAAAAGGGUGACAACUAAUUUCUUGUGUGUUAAUGUGGCUUUACAUAUGCUUUAGGUUGGUACUCAAAUGUUUAGUUCAUUUGUUACCACAAAAUGCUGCAGAAAUAGAUUCAGUCCACUGAAAGUUAAGAUACAUUCUGGAGUUAACCUGCAGCCUCCAGGGAGUGAACAGUGAGAUCUAGGUCCUGCAAGGGAGGAGUGCAUGAUGUUUUGGAUGAGAGGAGUAAGACCUGUUUCCCCCUUUCUUUGUUUACCUUCCUGAAGCUUUCUUUCCUGAUCUGUUUUAUCAUAAUGUCUUUUUCCACUACCAACCCAUAGGUUCUUUUUCAUCUAGGUGGUAUCAAAGUCGCCUCCAUUAUUUGCAAGUCUCUGGGAAUUUCCUUGAUUUCUUGAAACUGCUACAUGUUUCCUGAAAGGAUCCAAUCCAAGGCACCACUGUUUUGGUUACUUUUAAAAACUCAAAUGUUGGGAGUUUAUAUUUAUCUCCGCUGUAUCUCAUCUUGAGGUAAUUUUGAAUCUGGAACCUGCUAUCUAGCAUGUUAAAUAAAAGUAUGGACUUUGUUAUUUAUA